rnacentral:rRNA from 1 species
UUACGGUCAUAUCACGUUGAAACACCGGUUCUCGUCCGGUCACCGGUUAAAGCAACAUCAAGGCACGUCAGUACCUAGAUGGGUGACCGCUUGGGAAUACCAAGUGCUGUAAG